rnacentral:lncRNA from 1 species
UGUUUCCUAGUCUGGUUUCUUCUUGGUAAGUUCGCAGCCUGGGUGUGGGUCCUCAGUGCUCUGUGCUCACUGAGGUUGUUCAGGGAGGGGACCUUGGUCAGAGCCGAGUGCUCCUAGGAUUUCGCAGGAGCGCCCCGGGCCUGGGCGCUCGGUGCCAGAGAAGAUCCUGAACCGGAUUAGGGGAGAAUGCGGUCUGCCCCAUACGGAUUCGCGACCCCGGCAGUUCCUUGAACCGCAUCCAGCACCUUUAGCAAGCAGCCUCUCUGCACUUGGAGACCUGAGUCCCGCCAGGAAUCUAGCCUGAGGCCAGGAGACUUGUCUCUCGGGAGUGUGGAUAUUUAUUUCCGUGACCGGAUCAGAAGCUCUGUGGAAGUCAGGUCGGAAGUUUUGCUGUAUCCAGGACGCCCCUGCCAUCUCCCUUUCUCUGAUAUAAGAAAGAAGUUUGAGGAAAAGGAUGAAAACAAGAGAAAGC